rnacentral:rRNA from 1 species
AUGGCUGUGAGAAUCCUCUCAUUGACAUCAAGUUCUUCAGUCUGUGAAAGGAAUUGGGGUACCUUCGAAAAUAUACAUACGAAGAAAAGAAAUAGGCUAACUAUAGAACGUCUAAACUCUCUCGUGUUCAUACAAUUCAACUCGAGAAUGAUGGCCAAGAAACAAAUGAUCAAGGAGAAGAAGAUCACUGAUGUCCUCUUAUCCGCUGAAACUACUGAAGCUCAAGGUUUUGUUUUUGAGGGCGGAGAUGAUUAUGCAGAAGUCAUCUAUAUGGAUAAAGAUGAGGAGGAGAUGAAUAGUACAGGGAUGCCAGGGAGUGGCAUUGGAGAAGCAAUGGGAGGCGAUGAACUGCUCGAGCCGCGUAGAAGUGCGAGACCAAGACAACUUUAUGAAGAAGAAGAAUUUGAUUCUGAAGAAGAGGAGUUUGAUGAUGAGGAGGAGAUGCAUUCAGAUGAGGAGAAUGGCUAA